rnacentral:rRNA from 1 species
AGAGUUUGAUCCUGGCUCAGAACGAACGCUGGCGACGCGUCUUAAGCAUGCAAGUCGAACGGCAACACGGGGCAACCUGGUGGCGAGUGGCGAACGGGUGAGUAACACGUAGGUGAACUGCCCUUGGGCUGGGGAUAGCCUGUGGAAACACAGGGUAGUACCGAAUGAGGUCAUCGGAUUGUGAUCUGAUGAUGAAAGGGGCUAAGGCCUCGCCUGAGGAUGUGCCUGCGGCUGAUUAGCUAGUUGGUGAGGUAAUGGCCCACCAAGGCGACGAUCAGUAGCCGGCCUGAGAGGGUGGACGGCCACACUGGGACUGAGAUACGGCCCAGACUCCUACGGGAGGCAGCAGCUAAGAAUCUUCCGCAAUGGACGAAAGUCUGACGGAGCGACGUCGCGUGGGUGAUGAAGGCGGAAACGUUGUAAAGCCCUUUUAUCGAUGAGGAAUAAGCCUGGGAGGGAAUGCCCGGGUGAUGACGGUAGUCGGUGAAUAAGCCCCGGCUAAUUACGUGCCAGCAGCCGCGGUAACACGUAUGGGGCGAGCGUUGUUCGGAAUUAUUGGGCGUAAAGGGUAUGCAGGCGGUUUUCCAAGUCUGGUGUGUAAGACCUCAGCUUAACUGGGGGAGCGCGCUGGAAACUGGGAGACUAGAGUACAGGAAGGGGAGUUGGAAUUCCAGGUGUAGGGGUGAAAUCUGUAGAUAUCUGGAAGAACAUCAGUGGCGAAGGCGAACUCCUGGCCAUGUACUGACGCUGAGAUACGAAAGCGUGGGGAGCAAACAGGAUUAGAUACCCUGGUAGUCC